UAACAUCCGGAAACGGGUGCUAAUACCGCAUAGUUUUCUUGAUCGCAUGAUUGAGAAAGGAAAGACGGCCUUUGUGCUGUCGCUUAUGGAUGGACCCGCGGCGUAUUAGUUAGGUUGGUGAGGUAAUGGCUCACCAAGACGAUGAUACGUAGCCGACCUGAGAGGUGAUCGGCCACAUUGGGACUGAGACACGGCCCAAACUCCUACGGGAGGCAGCAGUAGGAAUCUUCCGCAAUGGACGAAAGUCUGACGGAGCAACGCCGCGUGAGUGAAGAAAGGUUUUCGGAUCGUAAAACUCUGUUGUCAGAGAAGAACAAGUUGGAGAGUAACUGCUCCAGCCUUGGCGGUAUCUGACCAGAAAGCCACGGCUAACUACGUGCCAGCCGCGGC
rnacentral:rRNA from 1 species